rnacentral:rRNA from 1 species
ACGUAGGUGGCGAGCGUUGUCCGGAAUUAUUGGGCGUAAAGCGCAUGUAGGCGGGAAUAUAAGUCUGUUGUGAAAAUGCGGGGCUCAACCCCGUAUUGCAAUGGAAACUGUAUUUCUUGAGUGCAGGAGAGGAAAGGGGAAUUCCCAGUGUAGCGGUGAAAUGCGUAGAUAUUGGGAGGAACACCAGUGGCGAAGGCGCCUUUCUGGACUGUGUCUGACGCUGAGAUGCGAAAGCCAGGGGAGCGAACGG